ensembl:Y_RNA Y_RNA Y RNA
GGCUGGUCUGAAUGCAGCAGUGUUGACAACUAAUUGGUCACAACCACUACAGAUUUCUUUGUGCCUUCUCCACUCCACUGCCUCAUUUGACUAGCCUUAA